UGAUAUCGAAUUUACAUGGAUAACCGUGGUAAUUCUAGAGCUAAUACAUGCUGGUAGGCCCGACUUUUGCGGAAGGGCGGUAUUUAUUAGAUAACAAGCCAAUAUUCCUCUGGUCUAUUGUGGUGACUCAUAAUAACUGAUCGAAUCGCAAGGCCUUUGGCCGCGAUAAGUCAUUCAAGUUUCUGCCCCAUCAGCUUUCGAUGGUAGUGUAUUGGACUACCAUGGCGUUUACGGGUAACGGAGGAUUAGGGUUCGAUUCCGGAGAGGGAGCCUGAGAAACGGCUACCACAUUUAAGGAAGGCAGCAGGCGCGUAAGUUACCCAAUCCUGACUCAGGGAGGUAGUGACAAGAAAUAACGGACCGAGGCCUUCGGGCUUCGGGAUUGGAAUGAGCCGAAUUUACACCCCUUAGCGAAGAUCGAUUGGAGGGCAAGUCUGGUGCCAGCAGCCGCGGUAAUUCCAGCUCCAAUAGCGUAUAUUAAAGUUGUUGCAGUUAAAAAGCUCGUAGUUGGAUUUCUGGGAGGGUGCCGAUGUCCACUUAACGUGUGCGCAGCGGCGCCCUCUCAUCCUUCUGUUAGCGUCUCUUGGCAUUCAUUUGCUGGUGGCGGGCUCAGAUAUUUUACCUUGAGAAAAUUAGAGUGUUUCAGGCAGGCUAGGCCGGAAUACAUUAGCAUGGAAUAAUGGAAUAGGACUACGGUCUCUUUGUUGGUUUGAGGGACUGCAGUAAUGAUUAAUAGGGAUAGUUGGGGGGCAUUAGUACUUAACUGUCAGAGGUGGAAUUCUCAGAUUUGUUAAAGACUGACUUAUGCGAAAGCAUUUGCCAAGGAUGUUUUCAUUAAUCAAGAACGAAAGUUAGGGGAUCAAAGACGAUCAGAUACCGUCCUAGUCUUAACCAUAAACUAUGCCGACUCGGGAUUGGGGGCGUGUUCUAUCCGCCUUCAGCACCGUAUGAGAAAUCAAAGUCUUUGGGUUCUGGGG
rnacentral:rRNA from 1 species